rnacentral:piRNA from 1 species
UCCUUGCCUCAUCUUCAACCUCCUC